UGGAUCUGGUGACGGGGUGAGAUGCUGCCCCGACGCUGGGGGAUCUGCCUGGCCCGGCCGCUGUAGAGGUCUCCCUCCAAGGGGCAGUUCCAGAUUUUUGGCCAGGGAUGGAUGAUCAGAAACCAUCCAGCGAGGAUAAGGAAUCUGAAGCAUCAGCAGAUGAAAAUGGCUCUGAUGUGGCCUGUGAAGCAGAGGAGCCUUGCAGUCCAUCUUCAAAUAACCCAUCUCUAGAGGAUGGCAUUCUCAGAGACCCACAUUG